rnacentral:snRNA from 1 species
GUCCUUUCGGGCACAUUCGAUAAAAUUGGAAUCAUACAAAAAAGAUUAGCGCACGGAUGACGCACACAAAUUCGAGAAAUAGUCCAAUUUUUU